UCUGACUCGCUGGUCGCCUUACUGUAGCAGCACGUAAAUAUUGGAGUUAAGACUAGCUGAAGUCUCCAGUAUUGAUCGUGCUGCUGAAGCAAAGCUGACCACUCACGCUCUG
rnacentral:miRNA from 1 species